UAACAUCAAUUAUAACAAUAAGCUUCAAUUAAUCACGUUGAAGAUAAUUGACAUUCAUUAUUAACAAGAUUUACAUGAAAUUAAAAGAAGGAUUAGGGUUUUUCAGAAUGUCACCAUUGAAAUUAGGAGACAGCUCUCACUCUCCUCACUUGACCGAACGGCGGCGCCGAGAGGCUUCUUCUCCGGCGAGCUCAUCUCCUUCGAUGCAAGCCAAUAGCGCGACGUAUCCCUCUCUCUCUCCAUUCAUUCCUCUUCUCAUCGAACUCAUCUCAGUUCUCUCUCCGUUCAAUCUCUCUUCUCUUCCGAUGAGCCAUUGUUACGUCGCCGCUGUGAAUUGUUUCCCUCUCUCAUCUCAUUUGAGGUUUCUUCAUGUUGCUUCGAAGGUAUGCAGGAAUUGUAGUGGUGCUAGAUGACUCACGAUUAUUGCUACGGUAUUGAAGUCGUCGUGAAGAUUGAAGAAGAAGGAGACAAGAUCGAAGAACUGUGUUGAUGUUGUUGAUGAAGGAAGCGAAGCUGCAUUGAAUCCUGGAUGAUAAUCGUGAUGAGAGUUCUUGAAGAUUGAUCGGGAUUGGUGAACGAAGUUGUUGUUGGCGCGUUUGAUGCAGCGUGAAGCAAUCUCCCUGAGUUUGUUACAGGUUUGUUACCAUUUUCUCCUUCUCUUUUCUGAGUUUUGAUGAUAGAGGUUUUUUUGUUAUCUUGGUGUUAUGAAGAAGAUGAUUGUUGAAGGUGUAUGAACAAUUAUGGUGAGCAUUUUUUGUUGAAUGUAAGAGCAAAAGGUUUUAGAAUUGAUGGAGAAAAUUCAGCGAGAGAGAAGGAUCCUCAGGUGUGGUCAAGAUCGAAUGUAGAUUGAAGAAGUUCUGGAGAGGUGAAUCAAUGAAGAUGAUGGAGAAUUGAGAUUGAAGAGAGAGUCUGUUACAUUUUUCUGUUAUGUGAAGAGUGGUCUGGUUUUGUUGAAUAGAUAUGAAUGCAAGUUGCUUGUUUCCGGUUUGAAGAGUAUGGAGCACCACUCAGUUUAGAACCUGGACCGGUUUAGAAUUGAAGGGAUUUUGAACAAGAUAUGCUGCAAGUUGAUGGGCAUUCGGUGCAGCGGUGGCAAUUAUAAACCUUCCUUUUUGUAAUUAUGGAUGUAAGAAUGUAAUAGAGACAUUUGGAUUUUUGAAUUGAACUUAGAACCGUGAAAGAUAUCCAAAUUAAAACUGUGCUAUGCGGUCUUGGAACCUGCUCUUUUUGAAAUCCAAAUGUAUUUUCUCUCCACACUUAUAAACCUCACUCAACUUUAACAACUUUGAUCAAAUUUUCAACUUUGAAUGAAUGCCUCAAACUA